rnacentral:tRNA from 1 species
ACUUGGGUGGCUCAGUCGGUUGAGCAUCUGACUCUUGAUUUUGGCUCAGGUCAUGAUCCCAGGCUCGUGGGAUCAAGCCCCAUCUCGGGCU